rnacentral:rRNA from 1 species
GGCGACCGGCGCACGGGUGCGUAACGCGUAUGCAACCUACCUUUAACAGGGGGAUAACACUGAGAAAUUGGUACUAAUACCCCAUAAUAUCAUAGAAGGCAUCUUUUAUGGUUGAAAAUUCCGAUGGUUAGAGAUGGGCAUGCGUUGUAUUAGCUAGUUGGUGGGGUAACGGCUCACCAAGGCGACGAUACAUAGGGGGACUGAGAGGUUAACCCCCCACACUGGUACUGAGACGCGGACCAG